rnacentral:rRNA from 1 species
AUACGGAGGGUCCAAGCGUUAUCCGGAAUCAUUGGGUUUAAAGGGUCCGCUGGCGGUCAAUUAAGUCAGAGGUGAAAGCCCAUCGCUCAACGAUGGAACUGCCUUUGAUACUGGUUGACUUGAGUUAUACGGAAGUAGAUAGAAUAAGUAGUGUAGCGGUGAAAUGCAUAGAUAUUACUUAGAAUACCGAUUGCGAAGGCAGUCUACUACGUAUAUACUGACGCUGAGGGACGAAAGCGUGGGGAGCGAACAGGAUUAGAAACCCUAGUAGUCC